rnacentral:rRNA from 1 species
CCUACGGGGGGCAGCAGUGGGGAAUAUUGGACAAUGGGCGAAAGCCUGAUCCAGCCAUGCCGCGUGUGUGAAGAAGGCCUUCGGGUUGUAAAGCACUUUCAGUGGGGAAGAAAGCCUUGGGGCUAAUACCCUCGAGGAAGGACAUCACCCACAGAAGAAGCACCGGCUAACUCCGUGCCAGCAGCCGCGGUAAUACGGAGGGGUGCGAGCGUUAAUCGGAAUUACUGGGCGUAAAGCGCGCGUAGGCGGUCUGAUAAGCCGGUUGUGAAAGCCCCGGGCUCAACCUGGGAACGGCAUCCGGAACUGUCAGGCUAGAGUGCAGGAGAGGAAGGUAGAAGUCCCGGUGUAGCGGUGAAAUGCGUAGAGAUCGGGAGGAAUACCAGUGGCGAAGGCGGCCUUCUGGACUGACACUGACGCUGAGGUGCGAAAGCGUGGGUAGCAAACAGGAUUAGAUACCCGGUAGUC